rnacentral:tRNA from 1 species
GGUUGUGUAGUGUAGCGGUUAUCACUUCAGAUUUUGAGUCCUAUCAAAGGUUCUGAUAACCCCGGUUCGAAUCCGGGCACGACCU